rnacentral:rRNA from 1 species
AAACUUGAGAGUUUGAUCCUGGCUCAGAACGAACGCUGGCGGCAUGCCUAACACAUGCAAGUCGAACGAACCCCCAACUUCGGUUGGACGGUUAGUGGCGCACGGGUGCGUAACGCGUGGGGAUCUGCCCUUUGCUUCGGAAUAACAGUUAGAAAUGACUGCUAAUACCGGAUGAUGUCGCAAGACCAAAGAUUUAUCGGCAAAGGAUGAACCCGCGUAGGAUUAGCUAGUUGGUGGGGUAAAGGCCUACCAAGGCGACGAUCCUUAGCUGGUCUGAGAGGAUGAUCAGCCACACUGGGACUGAGACACGGCCCAGACUCCUACGGGAG